UACGGGGGGGGCAAGCGUUGUUCGGAAUUACUGGGCGUAAAGGGCUCGUAGGCGGCCAACUAAGUCGGAUGUGAAAUCCCCAGGCUCAACUUGGGAACUGCAUCCGAUACUGGAUGGCUUGAAUUCGGGAGAGGGAUGCAGAAUUCCAGGUGUAGCGGUGAAAUGCGUAGAUAUCAGGAGGAACACCGGUGGCGAAGGCGGGUCUCUGGGCCGAUACUGACGCUGAGGAGCGAAAGCGUGGGGAGCGAACAGG
rnacentral:rRNA from 1 species